rnacentral:rRNA from 1 species
UACGGGGGGGGCAAGCGUUGUUCGGAAUUACUGGGCGUAAAGGGCUCGUAGGCGGCCCACUAAGUCUGACGUGAAAUCCCCAGGCUUAACUUGGGAACUGCGUCGGAUACUGGUGGGCUUGAAUCCGGGAGAGGGAUGCGGAAUUCCAGGUGUAGCGGUGAAAUGCGUAGAUAUCUGGAGGAACACCGGUGGCGAAGGCGGCAUCCUGGACCGGCAUUGACGCUGAGUGAGCGAAAGCCAGGGGAGCAAACGGG